GCAGUCGAACGGCAGCGCGGGGCAACCUGGCGGCGAGUGGCGAACGGGUGAGUAAUAUAUCGGAACGUGCCCUGGAGUGGGGGAUAACGCAGCGAAAGUUGCGCUAAUACCGCAUACGAUCUAAGGAUGAAAGCGGGGGAUUCGCAAGAACCUCGUGCUCCUGGAGCGGCCGAUAUCUGAUUAGCUAGUUGGUGGGGUAAAGGCCUACCAAGGCAUCGAUCAGUAGCUGGUCUGAGAGGACGACCAGCCACACUGGAACUGAGACACGGUCCAGACUCCUACGGGAGGCAGCAGUGGGGAAUUUUGGACAAUGGGCGAAAGCCUGAUCCAGCAAUGCCGCGUGAGUGAAGAAGGCCUUCGGGUUGUAAAGCUCUUUUGUCAGGGAAGAAACGGUGCGGGCUAAUAUCCUGCACUAAUGACGGUACCUGAAGAAUAAGCACCGGCUAACUACGUGCCAGCAGCCGCGGUAAUACGUAGGGUGCAAGCGUUAAUCGGAAUUACUGGGCGUAAAGCGUGCGCAGGCGGUUUUGUAAGUCUGUCGUGAAAUCCCCGGGCUCAACCUGGGAAUUGCGAUGGAGACUGCAAGGCUAGAAUCUGGCAGAGGGGGGUAGAAUUCCACGUGUAGCAGUGAAAUGCGUAGAGAUGUGGAGGAACACCGAUGGCGAAGGCAGCCCCCUGGGUCAAGAUUGACGCUCAUGCACGAAAGCGU
rnacentral:rRNA from 1 species